CAACUCACUUGCUUCAAUGCUUAAAUUUCAUGCAUUUUGCAUGACAUUACACAUGAGUUUCCUUAUGCAACACAAUCCACUGCCACACAUCAUUGUAUUUAAGACAGAUUUCAACAUACAGAACUACAAAUUAACUUACUUAGGAAUCAGUUCAGAAACUCUUGAUAUUUGAGUUUUGGAGAGGCAUACAUUACACACAAGCUUACAGGCAAUAUCCUCAAUUAAUGUUGUUGUGGCUGCAUACAUGCUUGCCACUGCACCCCUGCCACCUCAUUUUAUAACUAAAUAACUAUAUACAUAUAUAUAUAUAUAUAUAUAAACACAUAAUUUUUAUUUUUUUGUUUUAACAUUUUUUCUAAUAUAAUGCUUGUAAUUGCUCUUGCAUGGAUGGUGAUCCAAAGCCUUGUUGCCAUCUAAACCACACCCAACCAACUUCUACAAUAGCCCAUUCACCCACCUAAUCCACACCUCUAAUCCAUUACACCAAGCCUCCAAAUUUUGUUUCAUUCCUUGGACCCCUCAAAUCCAUCU
rnacentral:lncRNA from 1 species